UUUAUUAAUUGUAAUAGAAUUACGUUUAUUAUCUACAGUUUACCUUCAUUUUAACGCCUAUAUAUGUUAAGAGGUUAUAAACGAAUGGUUUCCGUACAAGUGUUUUUCAUUUGUAUUAGCAUUUAUUUUAUGUUACCUUUUAGCGCAAAGUACGCCAACAGAAUACUUAAUUCAGUCAAACAAUUGGAAAAACUUUGUUUGUUGAUAAGAACGGGCUACCUAUACCAUAAGUAAACCUUUCCUAUUAUACCAGUUAUGCUGUAGUUAGUUUUGACAAAUAAGCAUGAUGUAACGAAAGUCUUUGGAACUAUGAAUAAGCUACAAACUUAAAUUUGAAGGCCGGCUUUUAUAUGAGAAAAUUUUGAACCAUGGUUGAAACAAAUAAAUGUAAUAAUUAAAUUGAUAUGAUACAUACCUGCUAUUUUUGAAAUAUAUUAAUAUAUUGAUAGAAAGAUUGUUUCAGUUAGUAUGACUUCAGGUAGUUUCAGCAUUUUAGGUAUGUAAUUGUGCACUUAUUUUAUAAAUAACUUAGAAAGAAGCUUGAAACGCAUAGGGGCUCUUUAUGUGUGCUGUAUAAUUAAGGUUUGUAUG